rnacentral:misc_RNA from 1 species
UGCGGCUGGAUCCCCUCCUUUCUGGAAAAUGCACGCAAAUUCUUGCGCCCACCCUUAUCGGCUGUCGUUGACGACAGACUGCCCUUCAGAGAGGGAUUAGGUGCGCGGGUCUGUAGCUCAGUCAGUUAGAGCACCGUCUUGAUAAGGCGGGGGUCGUUGGUUCGAAUCCAACCAGACCCACCAACGCCCCAUGCAAGAGAUCAGGGGGUGUAGCUCAGCUGGGAGAGCACCUGCUUUGCAAGCAGGGGGUCAUCGGUUCGAUCCCGUUCACCUCCACCAAGAAUACGAGUAACACGUCGAAGCGGCGAGCGCACGUGGUGUGCUGGCCGGUUCGAUCGUUUAGAUCGGCUGUCGUUCUUUAACAAUUCAUAGAGUCGAAAUCAGCGUCGUCGGCGGAAAGCCGUGGUGACACGGCACCGUGCCGCCGGCGACAUUUGAUUGCGUCACCAGAACUUCACUUCAUGCAAGUGAAGAACGGCAUAACGCAGAUACCAGUCAUUGACCGGGGCCCGAGAUAGUCGCGGGCGUCAGAGUUAUAGGGUCAAGUGACUAAGUGCAUGUGGUGGAUGCCUUGGCGAUUACAGGCGAUGAAGGACGUUGUAGCCUGCGAUAAGCUUCGGGGAGUCGGCAAACAGACUUUGAUCCGGAGAUUUCCGAAUGGGGAAACCCG